UUGGUAUUCGAAAUGAACGACAAGCGGAUAGCAUCGCGACAUCGCGUUCCAAAAGCCGGUAAGAUACUCUUCGACGGCGCAGUGGUCGACUGCACCGUACCGUAAUAUUUCAAAUGGGCGCGGCAUUGGAGGUCGAAAGCCCAGUCGGCAUACCACUUAAGUUCACCCUGUUGAUCGAGUCGGAUCGUGUCAAGCGCCCUUGCAGCGUCAUUUGGCGGAAGGUUCGGCGUAUAGGGGUAAGAUUUGACGACGGCGAGAGCUGAC
rnacentral:misc_RNA from 1 species